UUAAGCGACUAAGCGUACACGGUGGAUGCCCUGGCAGUCAGAGGCGAUGAAGGACGUGCUAAUCUGCGAUAAGCGUCGGUGAGGUGAUAUGAACCGUUAUAACCGGCGAUUUCCGAAUGGGGAAACCCAGUGUGUUUCGACACACUAUCAUUAACUGAAUCCAUAGGUUAAUGAGGCGAACCGGGGGAACUGAAACAUCUAAGUACCCCGAGGAAAAGAAAUCAACCGAGAUUCCCCCAGUAGCGGCGAGCGAACGGGGAGGAGCCCAGAGCCUGAAUCAGUGUGUGUGUUAGUGGAAGCGUCUGGAAAGGCGCGCGAUACAGGGUGACAGCCCCGUACACAAAAAUGCACAUAUUGUGAGCUCGAUGAGUAGGGCGGGACACGUGGUAUCCUGUCUGAAUAUGGGGGGACCAUCCUCCAAGGCUAAAUACUCCUGACUGACCGAUAGUGAACCAGUACCGUGAGGGAAAGGCGAAAAGAACCCCGGCGAGGGGAGUGAAAAAGAACCUGAAACCGUGUACGUACAAGCAGUGGGAGCCUCUUUAUGGGGUGACUGCGUACCUUUUGUAUAAUGGGUCAGCGACUUAUAUUCUGUAGCAAGGUUAACCGAAUAGGGGAGCCGAAGGGAAACCGAGUCUUAACUGGGCGUUAAGUUGCAGGGUAUAGACCCGAAACCCGGUGAUCUAGCCAUGGGCAGGUUGAAGGUUGGGUAACACUAACUGGAGGACCGAACCGACUAAUGUUGAAAAAUUAGCGGAUGACUUGUGGCUGGGGGUGAAAGGCCAAUCAAACCGGGAGAUAGCUGGUUCUCCCCGAAAGCUAUUUAGGUAGCGCCUCGUGAAUUCAUCUCCGGGGGUAGAGCACUGUUUCGGCAAGGGGGUCAUCCCGACUUACCAACCCGAUGCAAACUGCGAAUACCGGAGAAUGUUAUCACGGGAGACACACGGCGGGUGCUAACGUCCGUCGUGAAGAGGGAAACAACCCAGACCGCCAGCUAAGGUCCCAAAGUCAUGGUUAAGUGGGAAACGAUGUGGGAAGGCCCAGACAGCCAGGAUGUUGGCUUAGAAGCAGCCAUCAUUUAAAGAAAGCGUAAUAGCUCACUGGUCGAGUCGGCCUGCGCGGAAGAUGUAACGGGGCUAAACCAUGCACCGAAGCUGCGGCAGCGACACUAUGUGUUGUUGGGUAGGGGAGCGUUCUGUAAGCCUGUGAAGGUGGCCUGUGAGGGUUGCUGGAGGUAUCAGAAGUGCGAAUGCUGACAUAAGUAACGAUAAAGCGGGUGAAAAGCCCGCUCGCCGGAAGACCAAGGGUUCCUGUCCAACGUUAAUCGGGGCAGGGUGAGUCGACCCCUAAGGCGAGGCCGAAAGGCGUAGUCGAUGGGAAACAGGUUAAUAUUCCUGUACUUGGUGUUACUGCGAAGGGGGGACGGAGAAGGCUAUGUUGGCCGGGCGACGGUUGUCCCGGUUUAAGCGUGUAGGCUGGUUUUCCAGGCAAAUCCGGAAAACCAAGGCUGAGGCGUGAUGACGAGGCACUACGGUGCUGAAGCGACAAAUGCCCUGCUUCCAGGAAAAGCCUCUAAGCAUCAGGUAACAUCAAAUCGUACCCCAAACCGACACAGGUGGUCAGGUAGAGAAUACCAAGGCGCUUGAGAGAACUCGGGUGAAGGAACUAGGCAAAAUGGUGCCGUAACUUCGGGAGAAGGCACGCUGAUAUGUAGGUGAAGCGACUUGCUCGUGGAGCUGAAAUCAGUCGAAGAUACCAGCUGGCUGCAACUGUUUAUUAAAAACACAGCACUGUGCAAACACGAAAGUGGACGUAUACGGUGUGACGCCUGCCCGGUGCCGGAAGGUUAAUUGAUGGGGUUAGCGGUAACGCGAAGCUCUUGAUCGAAGCCCCGGUAAACGGCGGCCGUAACUAUAACGGUCCUAAGGUAGCGAAAUUCCUUGUCGGGUAAGUUCCGACCUGCACGAAUGGCGUAAUGAUGGCCAGGCUGUCUCCACCCGAGACUCAGUGAAAUUGAACUCGCUGUGAAGAUGCAGUGUACCCGCGGCAAGACGGAAAGACCCCGUGAACCUUUACUAUAGCUUGACACUGAACAUUGAGCCUUGAUGUGUAGGAUAGGUGGGAGGCUUUGAAGUGUGGACGCCAGUCUGCAUGGAGCCGACCUUGAAAUACCACCCUUUAAUGUUUGAUGUUCUAACGUUGGCCCGUAAUCCGGGUUGCGGACAGUGUCUGGUGGGUAGUUUGACUGGGGCGGUCUCCUCCUAAAGAGUAACGGAGGAGCACGAAGGUUGGCUAAUCCUGGUCGGACAUCAGGAGGUUAGUGCAAUGGCAUAAGCCAGCUUGACUGCGAGCGUGACGGCGCGAGCAGGUGCGAAAGCAGGUCAUAGUGAUCCGGUGGUUCUGAAUGGAAGGGCCAUCGCUCAACGGAUAAAAGGUACUCCGGGGAUAACAGGCUGAUACCGCCCAAGAGUUCAUAUCGACGGCGGUGUUUGGCACCUCGAUGUCGGCUCAUCACAUCCUGGGGCUGAAGUAGGUCCCAAGGGUAUGGCUGUUCGCCAUUUAAAGUGGUACGCGAGCUGGGUUUAGAACGUCGUGAGACAGUUCGGUCCCUAUCUGCCGUGGGCGCUGGAGAACUGAGGGGGGCUGCUCCUAGUACGAGAGGACCGGAGUGGACGCAUCACUGGUGUUCGGGUUGUCAUGCCAAUGGCACUGCCCGGUAGCUAAAUGCGGAAGAGAUAAGUGCUGAAAGCAUCUAAGCACGAAACUUGCCCCGAGAUGAGUUCUCCCUGAGUCUUAGAGACUCCUGAAGGAACGUUGAAGACGACGACGUUGAUAGGCCGGGUGUGUAAGCGCAGCGAUGCGUUGAGCUAACCGGUACUAAUGAACCGUGAGGCUUAACCUU
rnacentral:rRNA from 2 species